rnacentral:rRNA from 1 species
GAUGAACGCUAGCUACAGGCUUAACACAUGCAAGUCGAGGGGUCUCGCGGGAGCUUGCUUCCAAGAGACGACCGGCGCACGGGUGAGUAACGCGUAUCCAACCUGCCCUUCAUAUUGGGAUAGCCUUCCGAAAGGAAGAUUAAUACCGAAUAACAUGAGAAAGUUGCCUGAUUCUCACAUGAAAGCUCCGGCGAUGAAGGAUGGGGAUGCGUUCCAUUAGGUAGUAGGCGGGGUAACGGCCCACCUAGCCCACGAUGGAUAGGGGUUCUGAGAGGAAGGUCCCCCACACUGGAACUGAGACACGGUCCAGACUCCUACGGGAGGCAGCAGUGAGGAAUAUUGGUCAAUGGGCGCAAGCCUGAACCAGCCAAGUAGCGUGAAGGAUGACUGCCCUAUGGGUUGUAAACUUCUUUUAUACGGGAACAAACCUUGGUACGCGUACCAAAUUGCGUGUACCGUAUGAAUAAGCAUCGGCUAACUCCGUGCCAGCAGCCGCCGUAAUAC